rnacentral:tRNA from 1 species
GUCUUGUAAACCGGACGUCAGGGGUUAAAGUCCCCUCUACUGCU